AGAGUUUGAUCAUGGCUCAGAUUGAACGCUGGCGGCAGGCUUAACACAUGCAAGUCGAGCGGAGAUGAGGUGCUUGCACCUUAUCUUAGCGGCGGACGGGUGAGUAAUGCUUAGGAAUCUGCCUAUUAGUGGGGGACAACAUUCCGAAAGGAAUGCUAAUACCGCAUACGCCCUACGGGGGAAAGCAGGGGAUCUUCGGACCUUGCGCUAAUAGAUGAGCCUAAGUCGGAUUAGCUAGUUGGUGGGGUAAAGGCCUACCAAGGCGACGAUCUGUAGCGGGUCUGAGAGGAUGAUCCGCCACACUGGGACUGAGACACGGCCCAGACUCCUACGGGAGGCAGCAGUGGGGAAUAUUGGACAAUGGGCGGAAGCCUGAUCCAGCCAUGCCGCGUGUGUGAAGAAGGCCUUUUGGUUGUAAAGCACUUUAAGCGAGGAGGAGGCUACUUAGAUUAAUACUCUAGGAUAGUGGACGUUACUCGCAGAAUAAGCACCGGCUAACUCUGUGCCAGCAGCCGCGGUAAUACAGAGGGUGCGAGCGUUAAUCGGAUUUACUGGGCGUAAAGCGUGCGUAGGCGGCUGAUUAAGUCGGAUGUGAAAUCCCUGAGCUUAACUUAGGAAUUGCAUUCGAUACUGGUCAGCUAGAGUAUGGGAGAGGAUGGUAGAAUUCCAGGUGUAGCGGUGAAAUGCGUAGAGAUCUGGAGGAAUACCGAUGGCGAAGGCAGCCAUCUGGCCUAAUACUGACGCUGAGGUACGAAAGCAUGGGGAGCAAACAGGAUUAGAUACCCUGGUAGUCCAUGCCGUAAACGAUGUCUACUAGCCGUUGGGGCCUUUGAGGCUUUAGUGGCGCAGCUAACGCGAUAAGUAGACCGCCUGGGGAGUACGGUCGCAAGACUAAAACUCAAAUGAAUUGACGGGGGCCCGCACAAGCGGUGGAGCAUGUGGUUUAAUUCGAUGCAACGCGAAGAACCUUACCUGGCCUUGACAUACUAGAAACUUUCCAGAGAUGGAUUGGUGCCUUCGGGAAUCUAGAUACAGGUGCUGCAUGGCUGUCGUCAGCUCGUGUCGUGAGAUGUUGGGUUAAGUCCCGCAACGAGCGCAACCCUUUUCCUUACUUGCCAGCAUUUCGGAUGGGAACUUUAAGGAUACUGCCAGUGACAAACUGGAGGAAGGCGGGGACGACGUCAAGUCAUCAUGGCCCUUACGGCCAGGGCUACACACGUGCUACAAUGGUCGGUACAAAGGGUUGCUACCUAGCGAUAGGAUGCUAAUCUCAAAAAGCCGAUCGUAGUCCGGAUUGGAGUCUGCAACUCGACUCCAUGAAGUCGGAAUCGCUAGUAAUCGCGGAUCAGAAUGCCGCGGUGAAUACGUUCCCGGGCCUUGUACACACCGCCCGUCACACCAUGGGAGUUUGUUGCACCAGAAGUAGGUAGUCUAACCGCAAGGAGGACGCUUACCACGGUGUGGCCGAUGACUGGGGUGAAGUCGUAACAAGGUAGCCGUAGGGGAACCUGCGGCUG
rnacentral:rRNA from 1 species